rnacentral:rRNA from 1 species
CCUACGGGUGGCAGCAGUGGGGAAUAUUGCACAAUGGGGGGAACCCUGAUGCAGCGACGCCGCGUGAGUGAAGACGUAUCUCGGUAUGUAAAGCUUUAUCAGCAGGGAAGAAAAUGACUGUACCUGACUAAGAAGCCACGGCUAACUACGUGCCAGCAGGCGCGGUUAUACGUAAGGGGCACGCGUUAUCCGGAUUUACUGGGUGGAAAGGGAGCGUAGACGGGUAUGCAAGUCUGAAGUUAAAUCGCAAGGGUCAACCAUGGGACUGCUUUGGAAACUGUAGAACUGGAGUGCAGGAGAGGUAAGCGGAAUGCCGAGUGUAGCGGUGAAAUGCGUAGAUAUUAGGAGGAACACCAGUGGCGAAGGCGGCUUACUGGACUGUAACUGACGUUGAGGCUCGAAGGCGUGGGGAGCAAACAGGAUUAGAUACCCGGGUAGUC